GCAAGGUUAUUAAGAAAAAGGAUUCGAGGUUUAACGGGUGAAUGUGAAUUGCGAGUUUGCCAUAACACAAUCUUUUUGCAAGGUUAUAUACAGUAUAACGCAAUCUUUCUCUCCUCAUAUUGCCCAAUAACACAAUCUUGAUCAACGGUCAAGAUAUCUCUUAGCCUCUCUAAGCCUCUCUCGCUUCCUCACUAAACCCUAAUCUGAAGCAGCCCAUACCGUAUAAAAGGAAAAAGGGAGAGAUGAGUGGAGACGUGGCGCAGCCGUUGACGACCGUGCCGGAGAUUAUAUUGAAGAAGAGGAAAAGUAACGAGGAAUUGGCUUUGAGGAGGAGGGAGCAAUUGGAGCAGAGCAAGUUUCGGCAGCACAAGAGUAAGCAGGAGUUUAUCAAGAAACCUGACGACUUUGUCAAGGAGUUUCGCUACCAAGAGGUGGACCUUGUCCAAAUGAAAAACUAGUUAAAGAGAAAGAGGUCAGCAAUAGAGACAACUAACCCCCAGCUUCUCUUGGUCAUUCGCAUACAGGGGAAAAAUGACAUGCAUCCUACUGUUAGGAAGAACUUAUACAGCUUAAACUUGAGGAGAAUCUUCAAUGCUGUUUUCAUGAGAGCAAACGAAGCAAUGCUAGAAAAGUUGCAGAGGGUUGAGCCUUAUAUUACCUAUGGGUAUCCUAACCUUAGGAAUGUGAAGGAGCUGAUUUACAAGAAAGGAUAUGCAAAGAUAAACAAGCAAUGAGUUCCUCUGAUGGACAAUAACUUGAUUGAAGAGGCUCUGGCAAAGUAUAAUAUCAUUUGCAUAGAAGACAUAGUGCAUGAAAUUGCUUCUACUGGUAAAUAUUUCAAGGAGGCUGCUAGCUUUAUAUGGCCCUUUACACUCAACAAGCCAGAAGUAGGAUUGAAAGGAGUAAAAGCACGUUUCCAAGAUGGUGGAGACACUGGUGAUCGCGGCGAUAAAAUCAAUGAACUGAUUAGCAAGAUGAAUUAG